rnacentral:rRNA from 1 species
UAGGGAAUUUUUCACAAUGAGCGAAAGCUUGAUGGAGCAAUGCCGCGUGAACGAUGAAGGUCUUUAAGAUUGUAAAGUUCUUUUAUUUGGGAAGAAUGACUUUAGCAGGUAAUGGCUAGAGUUUGACUGUACCAUUUUGAAUAAGUGACGACUAACUAUGUGCCAGCAGUCGCGGUAAUACAUAGGUCGCAAGCGUUAUCCGGAUUUAUUGGGCGUAAAGCAAGCGCAGGCGGAUUGAAAAGUCUGGUGUUAAAGGCAGCUGCUUAACAGUUGUAUGCAUUGGAAACUAUUAAUCUAGAGUGUGGUAGGGAGUUUUGGAAUUUCAUGUGGAGCGGUGAAAUGUGUAGAUAUAUGAAGGAACACCAGUGGCGAAGGCGAAAACUUAGGCCAUUACUGACGCUUAGGCUUGAAAGUGUGGGGAGCAAAUAGGAUUAGAUACCCUAGUAGUCCACACCGUAAACGAUAGAUACUAGCUGUCGGGGCGAUCCCCUCGGUAGUGAAGUUAACACAUUAAGUAUCUCGCCUGGGUAGUACAUUCGCAAGAAUG